rnacentral:rRNA from 1 species
CCUACGGGUGGCAGCAGUGGGGAAUAUUGGGCGAUGGGCGCAAGCCUGACCCAGCAACGCCGCGUGAAGGAAGAAGGCUUUCGGGUUGUAAACUUCUUUUAUUGAGGACGAAACAAAUGACGGUACUCAAUGAAUAAGCCACGGCUAACUCCGUGCCAGCAGCCGCGGUAAUACGGAGGAUGCGAGCGUUAUCCGGAUUUAUUGGGUUUAAAGGGUGCGUAGGCGGAACAUUAAGUCAGCGGUAAAAUCGAGGGGCUCAACCCCUUUAAGCCGUUGAAACUGGUGAUCUUGAGUGGGCGAGAAGUAUGCGGAAUGCGUGGUGUAGCGGUGAAAUGCAUAGAUAUCACGCAGAACUCCGAUUGCGAAGGCAGCAUACCGGCGCCCGACUGACGCUGAGGCACGAAAGCGUGGGGAUCGAACAGGAUUAGAUACCCUUGUAGUC